ACACCAUCGCCACCCCUUUGCGAACGGGAAAAGGAAGAAGUACCGAGCUGGCCGAGUUUAUUUAGAACCGAGCCUUACUAGGCGCCUUGACAUCUCCCUGGACGAGCAGUUUCUUAUUCAUAGACUUGACAGGUCGGUGCAGGCGGCGAACAUUGAGAGGGGUCUCAGAAAAGGAAUGAUAACACCCAGCAGGAGGACUAAGGAGUGGCCCAGAUAAACUUUAACUUGAUUACAACUGUUUCUUGGUUGCUGCACUCUUUGUCACAACUACUUAGAGACAGCUGAAGAAUUACACACACGUUGACAUCAUGGAAGAAAACCGAAAUCUUCUACACAGGUUACCCCAGACUCCUAAAGUGCACCCAGCUGGAUCAUGGCUGUGCAGAAUGAUAAUGUGUGCUCUGCCAGUGGCUCAGAUCACCAUAGGUUCAAUCUACUUGAAUUCCUGCCCUGUGCAGCAUUAUAUCCCCAUCUACUUGAUUGUGUCAGGAGUGUUUUCUCUAGUAAUGGAUCUCCUGUCUUUCUUCCACCUUGGCAAUGAAGCAGAGGAAGUUGACUCCAAUGCAAGGGGAGGUUCCACCCUGGGAAAUGGGCUGCUGUCUCUGUUCAUGUUUUGCUGGUUCAUUACAGGUAACGUUUGGAUUUACUCCAUCUACCAGCCGAACUAUGAUGAACAAAGUGGUGUUCUUUACUGCAAUAAGACACUCUACUUGUUUGCAUUUUGGAGCACAACAGUGGUCUACAUUGGACUUGGUAUACUCCUGCUGGUGGGCUGUUGCUUUCUGCUAUGUGCAUGUAUUAUAGGGGUUAAUCAACCCAAUUCAGAUGAUUUGGAAGAAGGUCAGAACUGAAUUACUCCUUAGCUGUAACCAGACAGUGUAUUUGUGGCUGCAAAGAAGAGCAUUAUGUUUUACUGUAUUUUGUAUUUCUUUGGUUUAAAAUUGCACUAGGUUGACAAUAAGUUAGUAGUUGGAAUCCACACCCUGGAGAAGAUACCAUUCCGUCACUUUGUUUUAUAUUUUAUUCUAUUCUUCUUCUUGUUGAUUUUGCAAAAUAUGUAAUCUUAGAAAUGGUAUUUCCUACCAAAUAGUGGUCACACUGGUGUUAAAAAGAAAAAAGAGGCAAGAGGCGACUGGUGGUUAGCUAUUUAAAUGGCUUCCACUGUCUUUUUGUUUUGGUAUGGUAUCCAAGCCUCAUGGCCUUAGUAUGUCAUAGACUGCUGUUAUGUUACACAUUAAAAAGUGGUCUAGAAAAGAAAAAAAAUCAAAGUUUUUGUAUUCCUGAUUCUGUAGAUUUUACUUAGUUACAUUCUAAUGCUAGGUCAGCAGAUAUAGAAGCCUUGCUGUCCCCAUUAAAGUUGAGGAGCUUUGGUGUAAAUUAGAAAGUGAAAACACUUGUCCAGUAUAACUUACUUUGGUGGCAUUCAGAUAACUCCAACUGAGAAGAUAGUAAUGUCCUACAAGUCUCCUCUUAAACGAUACAUGCAAGUAUACUAAAUGGGAUGCCACUCAUGUCACCUCUGGGUUUAUCAUGGAAACUUAAUUUUUGCUGAGAUGUGCGUGUUGUUUUCAGGGACUUUGAAGAGAACAGCACAUGGUAUAGAUAAAGGCUGAAUGAAUUCAAUGUGAUUGUGUGCUUUUUAUGUCUGCUUUUUACUCUUUAACAUGCCAGGUGGACUUUGAAUGAUGAGGUAAUUCACUGGAGCCACAUAGCAUGCUGGAUAGUCACCGUUACUUUCGGGAAAUGUUUGGAAAUUACAGAAAUAUUCAUAAAAGUUUCAAUCCCUUGAUAUUAAUAAAAAGCAGAUGUUUUCCAGGA